AGAACGAACGCUGGCGGCAUGCCUAACACAUGCAAGUCGAACGAACCCUUCGGGGUUAGUGGCGCAUGGGUGCGUAACGCGUGGGAACCUACCAUCAGGUUCGGAAUAACAGUUAGAAAUGACUGCUAAUACCGGAUAAUGUCUUCGGACCAAAGAUUUAUCGCCUUUUGAUGGGCCCGCGUUGGAUUAGCUAGUUGGUAAGGUAAAAGCUUACCAAGGCGACGAUCCAUAGCUGGUCUGAGAGGAUGAUCAGCCACACUGGGACUGAGACACGGCCCAGACCUCCGUACGGGAGGCAGCAGGUAGGGGAAUAGUUGGACAAGUGGGACGAAAGCCGUAGAUCCAGACAAGUCGCCGCGUGAGUGAUGGAACGGUCCGUUUAGGGUUAGUAAAGUCGUUUCGUUUUACGGUGGGGUAUGUAAUAAGUGAAC
rnacentral:rRNA from 1 species